rnacentral:rRNA from 1 species
GAUGAACGCUGGCGGCGUGCCUAAUACAUGCAAGUCGAGCGAACAGAUGAGGAGCUUGCUCCUCUGACGUUUGCGGAGGACGGGUGAGUAACACGUGGAUACCCUACCUGUCAGACUGGGAACACUUCGGGAAACCGGCGCUUAUCGCGGAUGAUCUCUUGAACCGCAUUGGUCAAUGGAGAAAGACGGUUUUGCGGUAACUUAUAGAUGGAUACGCGCCGGAUUAGGUAGUUGGUGAGGUAACGGGUUACCACGGCAACGAGGCGUAGCCGAGCUGAGAGGGGGGUCGGCCGCAUGGGAGCGGAAACACGGUCAUGACGACUGCGGGACGCAGCAGUAGGGAAUGGGCCGCAAUAGGCGGAAGCCUGACAGAACAAGGGCGCGUGAGUGAUGAAGGUCUUCGGAUCGUAAAACUCUGUUAUUAGGGAAGAACAGAUUUGUAAGUAACUGUGCACGUCUUGACGGUACCUAGUCAGAAAGCCACGGCUAACUACGUG